rnacentral:piRNA from 1 species
UGGCUGUAGCAUACAAUAAAACAG